rnacentral:lncRNA from 1 species
AGUGUCAUCUUUUAGACAAACGCUUCGAUAUUCAGUUGAAGCAUAUUGAACAAUAACCUCACUUUUACAAGCAUUUUUUAGCCGAACAUUAAGUGUUCAGUUAAUGAUAUAAACUAUCCUGUUAUCUUACUUAAUUCUUUUAUUGCUAGCGCCAUAAUGUUUUCUUAUAGGGUAAGUUGUAGCGAAGAUAGGUUCCAAAGAACAGUGUACCUGAAGGGCUCUUUAGUGGCGUGAAACGAUAUGCCUCCUCAACUAUGUCCCAACAGGAACCUGCCCGCAUCGAGAAAAGUAAGCAACUGGCAUGACAAAAAAUGCAUAAUUUGUAUCGAAUAUUAAAAAAUGUCAACAUUUUCUAUUCCCCAAGGGAAUAUGAACGACUCUUCAUCUUUAACAGGAAGUAAUUACUUGAAACAACUGCAAAUGCAAAGUUAUUCGGUGGUCUACACACAUCUAAAUUUUUUUUUGUAAAAGUCUUGGCUUAUUAGCGUUUUUUAAUAAAAGUGCAGAAGUAAAUUGGGAAGGAAAUAAAGUGAGCCAAAAAUGAGAAAUCACGCCUGACCAGUGUUGCCACAAGCUUAUUUUUUGUCGGGGUAGGGAAUCUACCCCCCUUACAAGAGAGGGGGGUUGAUUUAGCUCUGGGGGUCGCCCAAUCAUUUAACUAUAUUUUACUAUAACAACAAUAACUGUCUGGAACUUGCCAGACGUAUUAAUAUUACAUGUGUUGGCAAAAAAAAUUAUCAUCCCAAAAUCUUUUAAACAGCAGAAUUUAAUUAUCGUUUAUAUUAUUAUUAGUAUUAUGGCCGUUAUAACAAUUGGGAUUAGCAUCAAGUUAAUGUUUAUGCGAUAUGUUGGAAUGUUGAUAGGUUAUUUUUCUAACGAAUGUCGCGUGAAAGGAAAAAAUAGGCAGGACAGACUCACUGCCCGCUAAACAAUUUUUCGUUUCAGAAACGUAUAUUAAAAUCCCGAAACGUUUCAGUUACCCACACUAUAUGUUUCAGAAAUGUUUAUGUAACUGCAAAUGCCCGCCCUCAGAAACGUUUUGUUGAAAUGUAACUGAAGCGUUGCGCUAGACGUUAUUUAAACGUUGCAAAUAAAUAUUUUGUAACAUUA